AUGCAGACAUCACAAGCCCAGGACCAAGCCUCCAGGCAGGCCAGACAAACAGACAAAUCCCCUGAGCCCUCUGGAGGUCCGAAGACUCAACAGAGUCAGGAUAGUCAAGACAGUGAGAUGGACGCAGCUGAGAACCAGCCUUCCUCACCCUCUCCCUCACCCCCUUCCCCCAUCUCCCUCGCCAGCAGAAGUGACGCAGGAGACAGUGAAGAGUUGUCGGUUGUGGACGAGGAAGGUUCCGAAGAAAUGAGCUCGGCAUCUGUCGGGGCCAAGACCAGUACUAGUCCCGUGUACACCAGUGGCAUCAGAGAAGAGGCGGACGGCAGUUUAACAUACUGCCUUAUGGGUGAUGGAAUAACCAUUCUGUCUGAUAAAGAGUACUUGACCAUCAGUUCGACUUCGGACAGGCCCUCUAGCCUUACCUCAAACACCUCAUGUACCCCCAGUGUGGCUCCACACACUACCUCUCAAACCUCCAGGACCAGAUCCACCCCCCCCACUAGGGUCCGAUCCACCACCCCCAAAAGUACUUCCAUCCCCCACAGCUUGUCCUCGCAAACCACAAGCUCAACAAACCCCAAUUUGUCAUUGCAAACCACCUCUGUCCAGCAGACACCAGCUCAGCCCUCCUCUAAGCCUACAUCCAGCCUUUCCUCUAGGAUGUCUGACCUCAACAUCAGCCACUCAGUGCAUCCUCUCCAGCCCCAGCAUGCUACACCUCCUCUUCCCAGCCUCUCCUCCCAUACCUCCAACCCCAACUCCAGGAUCUCUGAUUGCAAACACAGCAUCACCUCCGAUCGUAAACACAGCAUCACCUCCGAUCGUAAACACAGCAUCACCUUCGAUCGUAAACACAGCAUCACCUCCGAUCGUAAACACAGCAUCACAUUCAAGACUACCAAUGCCUCCAACAUCACUCGUUCAGUCAUCCAAUACAAUCCCCAGCCCCCUGACACAUUGCCCCCCUCGCAACCCCCCGCACGCCACCCCUCUCCCCAGCCUCCCUUGUCCUCACUCUCUCCCCCCAUUCAGGCUGCACCUCUCCAAAACACACACCCUACCUGGAGACAGGAGACAGAAGGGGAGGAGGACGAAGAUGAGGAUGAGAAUGAGGAGGAUCCCAGAAAAGGCAUGAUGAAGGAAUUUGAGAUGUGUGUGGUUCUGACCAAGUCGUGGAGUGGUAGCUUUGGGUUCACCAUCACACGCAGCAAACUGGAUGCCUGCUACUACAUUCAGGACAUACUGGACAACCCUGCUAAGACGGACGGACGGCUCAGACCAGGGGACAGACUAGUCACGGUAUGCACACACACAUCGGCACACACACAUGGACAAACACAUACACAUAGGCACACAUUAUCUUUACCUGUCUCUCCCAUAUUCCCCACUCCCAGGUCAACGGCCAAGAUAUGACGAAUGUGACGGAUGAGGUUGCCAUGUCGAUCCUGAGGUCGUCUCCUAGGAGACUGAGUUUGAUCCUGGGGAGGGCGGUGACCAACCUGAUCGCUCCACCUUUUCCAGACAACCUGCAAGACAUCAUACUGCACAAGACACCGACUGGACAGCUUGGUAAAACACUGAAUGGGAGCGUGACUAUUAGUAUUUAUCAGAUGGGAGAACUAUAAUAUGGGAAGCCAGUGUGAGGGUCUGCGCUCAGGCUGCAAUGUAUGGUGGCCGGUGCGUGGGAGAAAAAAAUCUGUGUAGAACUACAUAGGUACUCAAACCAUGUAAAGGGAAAACCAAGGAGGUCGAGAUGCAAAAAUAUACUUACAUUUAAUCCAUCCUCAAACGGUUAUUAAAAGAUCCUCGUUGCGAAGUGCUAAACAAAGAAAGGAGCGUACGUUUCGGCUUCUAUGCCUUCGUCGGUGCUGUACAAACUCAUUAAGGAGGCACGGACUUAAGAAGACACACCUGCUGUGCGUAACAGAUGCACAGGUGCAGGGAAAAGGUGCUCUGUUACAAUUUCAACCUUUCUGUCUGUAUUAUAUCGCUAAUAUCUGGAUGGUGCUCAUUAGGGCACGCCAUAGCAAACACUUUGCAAUGGAAAACAUUCAGUUGUUUAGGUUGUAUAUCCUCUGGUUACUCUGUUUUCUUCUGUUUUUGUCCCUAAUGAACACGUCUCUCAGGUAUAAAGCUGACGGGUGGUAUAGGCAGCAAAUGGCAGGGGAUCUACUGUCUGGAGGUGGUUCCUGGUUCACCUGCGUGUGAGGAAGGCAGCGUCCAACCAAACGACAGGAUCCUGUACAUCUGUGGCCGAUGCACCAUGGGAAUGACUCUGGAGGACGCUGUCAAGGCCUGCGAGACUGCUCCGCGCAAAGUGAAACUUAAGGCCACCAGGUGUGUGGGGUUGCCUGAAUGUGUGUGUGUGUUUUGUAGGAAUGCAUGCAUUUUUUUUGUUAAAUGAUCCGUCUGUUUGCUUUCUUUCUUGUUUCUUGUAGAGAUGACCAGCCUGUGACUCCCAAAGCCAAGAGUAAUGGUGCGUAUAAGAUCAUGUACUGAGAUGCUUUAACCUCCCGGUGACCACUAUGUUCAGUUCAGGACUCUCGGUGUAUGUGACUGCUGGUUCACAUAGAAACAGACACGAACUGAAACACUGGAAUGUUGGCUAAGUGUUGCAAUGGGUUAAGUUGAUGGAAUGAGAAGUUUGUAACCAGGCAGGUUGAUGCCUCAUUGACGAAGUAGAUGCUAUUCUCAGAUCAAUCAUUACCAGGUUAGAUAACCAUAUUACCUGAGACAGAAGCUUCAUGGUUUGGUCUUUCAACAUUACGGUGUGUGAUUCUGUGUCCUGUCUGUCUGUGUCCAGGUCUCAGUGACCUGAGAGAGUGGAAGAAGGAGGAGCAAAGGGAAUAUUUCAGUGGGACCUCUCUCUCUCGCUAAUAUUUGUUAUUGGUCUCGCUCCUCUCAUCUCUUUGUCUGUGUUUGUAGCCGUAGCCCGGUGCUGACAGACAGUGUGUGUGUGUUUGUUGACGGACAGGGCCUGUGCUGCCACUGCAGGAUUAAUUAUUACAGAGCAUCUAAACCUCCACUGGGGUAUUAGACCACACACACACACACACACACACACACUAGUUGUUUGUUGACUGUGAGGGGUGAGGUAGAGGGACAAGAGAGGGGCAGUCUGAAAGGCCAGUGUUGUCUACCUGUUCGA
rnacentral:lncRNA from 1 species